UACAGAGGGUGCGAGCGUUGUUCGGAAUUAUUGGGCGUAAAGGGCGCGUAGGCGGUGCGGUAAGUCACCUGUGAAAUCUCCUGGCUCAACUGGGAGCUUGCAGGCGAAACUGCCGUGCUGGAGUGUGGGAGAGGUGCGUGGAAUUCCUGGUGUAGCGGUGAAAUGCGUAGAUAUCAGGAGGAACACCUGUGGCGAAAGCGGCGCACUGGACCACAACUGACGCUGAGGCGCGAAA
rnacentral:rRNA from 1 species